GUCGAGCGGCAGCGAGAAGAAACUUGUUUUCUUUGUCGGCGAGCGGCGGACGGGUGAGUAAUGGUUGGGAACUUGGCCUAGUGAGGGGGAUAACAGUUGGAAACGACUGCUAAUACCGCAUGAACUCUACGGAGCAAAGAAGGGGAUUCUUUUGAACCUUUCGCACUGGGAUAGGCCCAAUUGGGAUUAGCUAGUUGGUGGGGUAAUGGCUCACCAAGGCGACGAUCUCUAGCUGGUUUGAGAGGAUGAUCAGCCACACUGGAACUGAGACACGGUCCAGACUCCUACGGGAGGCAGCAGUGGGGAAUAUUGCACAAUGGGCGCAAGCCUGAUGCAGCCAUGCCGCGUGUAUGAAGAAGGCCUUCGGGUUGUAAAGUACUUUCAGCGAGGAGGAAGGUGUANUAGCUAAUAUCUGCUNCAUUUGACGUUACUCGCAGAAGAAGCACCGGCUAACUCCGUGCCAGCAGCCGCGGUA
rnacentral:rRNA from 1 species